rnacentral:rRNA from 1 species
UACGUAGGGUGCAAGCGUUGUCCGGAAUUAUUGGGCGUAAAGAGCUCGUAGGCGGCUUGUCACGUCGACUGUGAAAACCCGGGGCUCAACUCCGGGCCUGCAGUCGAUACGGGCUGGCUUGAGUGCGGUAGGGGAGACUGGAAUUCCUGGUGUAGCGGUGAAAUGCGCAGAUAUCAGGAGGAACACCGAUGGCGAAGGCAGGUCUCUGGGCCACUACUGACGCUGAGAAGCGAAAGCGUGGGGAGCGAACAGG